AAGAAUGUCAGUUAGGGUACCCCGAGCGCCCGAGCCUCCCUCUCUCCCACCCCAAUAGCCGCCGCCGCCGCCUCCGAUUCGGCUGUACAUUCGCCGCCGCUGCAAAUCAAGCGCCGCCCGCGGCAGCAGACGCGUUUCGUGCGGACCAUGAAGACGCAGAGGACCGCCGGCGACGACGACGCCAUCCGCACCGAGGCACCACAGUGGGCUGAGCUACCCGAUGACCUCCUCGCCAUAGUCCGCGGCAUGGCGACCUCGCCGUUCGACCGCGUUCGCAUCGCCGCCGUGUGCCGAUCCUGGCGCGCCGCCGCGGCCCUCUCCCCCGCUGUUGCUCUCCCUACCUGGCUUCCCACAGUGUUUCAGUUGCUACUCCACGGAGAAUCGCCUCUACUGCCCCGAGGACGGCCGGGACUACACCGGCGUGGACUACACCGGCGUCCUGCUGGACGUCCCCUUGCUCCAGAGCAAGGCUCUCAGCCGGGAGAUCGUCGGCUCCCACGACGGCGGCUGGCUCGCCGCUUUCUUCACCACUCGCCCACACGCCACCGCCGGGUACCAGCAAGGCAUGCUCGUAAUCUUCAACCUCUUCACGCGUGCCGAGGUGGCGCUAUCUCCGAAGCAAAGGGACAUCGGCAAAUUUCGCGUCGAUGAGGACAAGCCGUUUUUUGUCUCCAACUCCAAGAUUGUCUUCUCCGAGGACCCCACCUCGAGCGCUUGCAUCCUCGCCGCCAUGAUUGACAGAUGCAAGUCGCUGUCUGUAGAAUUGGCUGCCCGGAUGGCGGGUGGACAGUAUACAAAACCUGCAGCUGGGAGAUAGGUUUGUGGGAUCAGCUCCAGGACAUUGUCUUCUUCAACGGCGAGCUCUAUGGGCUGACCCGAGAAAGACUAGUCAAGCUUAACAUUGGUGGCAAGAACCAAGAUGGAGCUCAUCCCGUAGUCACCACCAUUCACCAACUGGGUCCUCAGAUAUCCAAACAGAUCGUCCAUGGAGACGACGAUAACACCAGCAAUUUCUUCCUUGUCGAGCUACGGGGGAAGUUAGCCAUUGUGGUGUCGGAUAAUAGCUGGCACCCGCGGUCGAGCAGGUUGUUCGAGGUUGCCGAAGCUGAAGACGGCUACAAGUGUGCAGAGCUGACGAGCUUGGGCAACUACACUUUGUUCUUGGGUUCGAGGUGCUCCAAGGCAGUGGAGAAUAGCAACGGUGACUUUGACCACCGCCAUGAAAUGUUUCAUGGUAUCUGUGGUGUAUAUCGUCAUUGGGAAGAUGAAGAUGAAAUUACCCGUAAUUGUGUGGAUUUGGGCGGGGCUUGCUAUCCUCAUUGUGGCGGUACAUGGCUUCUCCCUCCAGAGUUAUAGCAAACUACUGUUAAUUUGGGCGCAUGCGCAUGAACAUCCAUAUAUUUCCUACAUGCAUGCAUUAUUUGCUUGGUCAUACUGUCAUGAUACAUGCUCUUUAACCAAGUUAAAUGUUCGAUUGAGAGCCCUAGUUGCUUAUGAUUUUUUUUUUCAAUAUAUGGUAUUCCCUCUUCCUAAAUGUAAGAAGUCGUGGCUUUGUUAAAGUCAAAUUUCUUAAACUUUGACCAAGUUUAUAGAAAAAUUUGCCAACAUUUAGAAUACCAGAUAAGUAUAUUAUGAAAAUAUAUACCAUGAUCGAUUUAAUAAAACUAAUUUAGAGUCAUAGAUGUGUGUAGAUUUUUCUAUAAAACUUGGUCAAAGUUUAAGAAUUUUGACUUAGGACAGGGCUAGGACUUCUUACAUUUAGGGACGAAGGGAGUACGUAGAUUUUUGAAAUAUGCUGUCUGUUUCAUGUUGCUGGAGUUUUUUCGUACUACGUACACACUACCAAGCAUGUUUGCCUGCAGUGUAGUGGAAGAUGCCAGGAGGGUAUUUAUUUGCCUCCUCUUCACCUCACGUAACUUUAACGGAUUUGUUGUUCCAAAGAGCAAAAAUAGUGUGUCGUGUGCGCACCAGAAGAGAGACAUGAACAAUUCCAAUGGAACAGGAAAUGUGCAUUUUUUUCAUGAAGGGAGCUGCACAUAACCGUAGGUUGUAGUGCUAGGUAGAGUAGUUUAUCUUGUUUGCUUGCUUAACUGGUUCUGCUCCUGCAAUGCAUGCAUGACUAGGCAUGCAGAUUCAUACAGCUGCUUUUUUACUGCCUUCCCAUGACAUAUAAGAACCGAGCACUAGCAACCAAUUAAAGCAGCUAUUUAUGUAUGUCCAAUGUAAUACUACAAAAUAGUUAUGAUUUGAAAAUGUCUCUUCAGUGUAUUGUGGAAUUGUUUAGCUACUUGUACGAAGCAUUUCUGUAUUUAAGACAAUACUUUUAUUGGACAGAGAGGAGAGAGGAAAUCAUAUUACCUGCUCUAAUUUGAUUACUCCCUACACAAAAACUGAGGUACAGGACUACAUGGCAUAUAAGAACCGAGCACUAGCAACAAGUGUUAGAAAACAUCUUUUCUGAACUGGGAGGCAAUUAAUUAAUUGCCUGGUUCUUCUAUCUAACCAGAAGAGAAUUGUUGAGUCAGUUAGAAAAAAACUGGGCGAAAAGCAUAUGAUCCAUCCCCUGCUUUUGUUGCCUGGCAUAUUUUGUCAAAGGGUGUUUCCCAUUCUAUCACUAUACAAAAUGCAUCCAGAGUGAAUACUACUAAUACCAUGAAUGUUCUACAUUUAUUAGCUCUGUUUAGGAGACACUCUUAUAUUCGAUUUUCAAUUAAUUGUAAGAUACAUAUCUGAAUCUUAUAGAGUAUCAUCAAACAGUAAGGAUCUGAAUGUCAUCAAGUGAAUUCCAUUAGUCGGUAUGAACCCGUUUGAACUCCUUUGUCAUCUUUGUCGUCUUCAAUCUCAUACAUUGAUUCAUUGGUUACAGAAAGAAAAUUAAAAUGUAUACGUCCUUCAUUCUUCUUGAAGUACACGACAGUCUAAAAUACACAUGAGCUCACAAUCUACUGCAGAGCACUAUUCUGGUUGGUUAAAAAUAGGAGCUAUAUUCUUAAUUCAACAAUAAUUGAUUGUACUAAGUUCCUCACAAUUGUAUAUAUAUAUGCAUCCUCACAAUUUCUUGCCAGACAAGAACACCCAGGAGUUUAUGUAGGUGCCUAGCUAUCAUUGUGAAAUUAACCAGGAAACAACACGUUAGUAUAUAUGUCCGUUAGUUUGUACUUGGGAGCAUGCCAAAAACAUGACUUGGUACAUGCCGUCACAACCUCUUUGACUAAGGCCCUGUUUGUUUGGGCUUUAGCUUCAGCUUUUGGUGUUUCUAGCAAUCUCAAAAGCACUUCUUUCGUUUACACAUGAAGCUGAGAAGCACCUCCGGACGUGCUUUUCAGCUAGAAGCACCAAAACCACGUCUGGAGGUGCUUCUCAGCUUCAUUUGUAAACGGGAGAAGUGUUUUUGAAAUUACUAGAAGCACUAAAAGCUGAAGCAGAAGUCUAAACAAACGGGGCUAAAACAGACUGAGUGAUAAGGAUGUUCUACAGUACGUGGGACUUACCGCGAGGUGCCGGUACCUCCCUGCCAUUCACAAUCUUUCUCGGAAAGGAUAGGAUGACAGCACGUCUCCUAUGCAAAUUACUCCAUGGCGGCUUCGACCACCAGCAUGAAAUGUUUCACGGUAUCUGUGGUAUAUGUCAUCAUUGGGAAGAUGAAGAUGAAAUUACACGUAAUUGUGUCGAGUUGGUUGGAGCAGUACGUGAUUCCUUUUGCGAGGCUUGCUAUCCUCGCAGUGACAGGGCAUGGAUUCUCCCUCCAGAGUUCUAGCAAACUAGUGUUAAUUUGGGCGCAUGUGCAUGAACAUCCUAACUUAACUAUGUACAUGGUUGGAUUGCUUUUAUCUGCUCCUUGAUCUUCAUAAUUGGUAUUGCUUAUGGUGUUACCAAGAUUACAGAUCAGAUAAGCUGUGUCACAGGUUGGAACAUAUUUGUGCGUAAGUUUGAUUUUCUUCUGCUCAAAGAAAUGUAACUGCAUGCAUGCUGAUGUGAAAUCCAGUUUUCUUUGUAGUAGUAAACACAUAUGUUAUAGCAUUCACAGCACUGGCUGCUGGAUCUGGUCGCUAGCAAGAUAGCAGCCGAGCCUCAAGUCACUGCAGAUUCUACAAUUGCCAACAUCACUUACAGCAAUUUGGUGAACAUUUAUGUUGGUAUUGGUGUUCCGUGGUUGAUCGACACAGUUUACAACUGCUUUCUCUACCAAGAUAAUGCUGCUGGCCUCAGCUUCUCCCUUCUGGUUUUCUUCGCAACAUCGUUUGGUUGUAUCACGGUGUUGGUUCUUCGCCGCAUUGUACUUGGUGCAGAGCUUGGGGGCCCUAUGUUGUGGGCGUGGGCGACAUCAGCCUACUUCAUGGUCUUCUGGAGUAAUCAUUUACCCUAUGAAAGGGCGAAGAAUUGAGGGCUUGUUUCGGCCUCUACAUGUUCUUA